rnacentral:rRNA from 1 species
GGCUCAGAAUGAACGCGGGCGGCGUGCCUAACACAUGCAAGUCGGAUGUGCCCGCAAGGGUGCAUGGCAGACGGGUGAGUAACACGUGGGGAACCUACCUCUUUGUGGGGAAUAACGCUCCGAAAGGAGUGGUAAUACCGCAUGAGACCAAUGGCUGGGAUGCUGUUGGUGAAACCUCGGGACCGCAAGGCCGGGGGCAAGGAGAGGGUCCUGCGUCUGAUUACCUAGUUGGCGGGGUAACGGCCCACCAUGGCGACGAUCAGUAGCCGGCCUGAGAGGGUGAUCGGCCACGCUGGAACUGAGACACGGUCCAGACUCCUACGGGAGGCAGCAGUGGGGAAUUUUGCGCAAUGGGCGAAAGCCUGACGCAGCAACGCCGCGUGGGUGAUGAAGGUCUUUGGAUUGUAAAACCCUGUCGUCGGGGACGAAGGUGGGGGCGUUAACAGCGCCUUCGCUUGACGGUACCCGGAGAGGAAGCCCCGGCUAACUCUAUGCCAGCAGCCGCGGUAAUAUCAGAGGGGGCAAGCGUUAUUCGGAAUUAUUGGGCGUAAAGGGCGCGUAGGCCGCUUUUUAAGUCAGAUGUGUAAUCCCCGAGCUCAACUUGGGAACUGCAUUUGAGAUUGGAAGGCUAGAAUGCCGGAGAGGGUGGUGGAAUUCCUCGUGUAGCGGUGAAAUGCGUAGAGAUGAGGAGGAACACCAGUGGCGAAGGCGGCCACCUGGACAGUAAUUGACGGUGAGGCGCGAAAGUGUGGGUAGCAAACAGGAUUAGAUACCCUGGUAUGUCCACACUGUAAACGAUGAACACUUGGUGUGUCGGGAGUUGACCCCCGACGUGCCGGAGCUAACGCGUU